UACGGAGGGUGCGAGCGUUGUCCGGAAUCACUGGGCGUAAAGGGCGCGUAGGCGGCGCGAGCAGUCUGUGGUGAAAGCCCGUGGCUCAACUGCGGGUCGGCCAUGGAUACUCUCGAGCUGGAGCACUGUAGAGGCAGAUGGAAUUCCGGGUGUAGCGGUGGAAUGCGUAGAGAUCCGGAAGAACACCGGUGGCGAAGGCGGUCUGCUGGGCAGUGGCUGACGCUGAGGCGCGACAGCGUGGGGAGCAAAC
rnacentral:rRNA from 1 species